AUGCUGGAAGCUGAUCCUCCUGAGAUGUCCUUUGAUCCUCACUGGCCUCAUCAGGGCCUGACCUGUGUCCCACGUCCGUGUUGCUCUCUGGCAUCAGGCAGUUUCCCAAUAGUAGGGGAAAGAAUGGAGGUCAGCCUGGAGAGAGGACCCUGCCAGCUGCACACCCGGGGAGGACUGCUCAGGCAGCUCCACAUGCUGCCAGCCUUGCGUGAAAGGAGCAUGGAGUCCAUUUGGAGAGGAAGGGAAAUGAAACAGAACAAAAAGGUGUGUGAGCAGAUGCUGGUUCAGAAGUGGCGGCUGGAUCAGAGCGGUCAUCUUUCCAGAGGACAUGGAAGAAUUCAGACUGUUCUGAGACUUCCAAGGGCUCCUCCUUGCCGUGAGACAGACCCCCCAGCCUCCAUGUGGCCUGCUGGCAUCAGUUCUGGCCCUCGCGUCCUGGGCACGCAGUGCUUGUCCAUCGAAGUGGCCCGGAGGCUGGGAUGCCACGUUCUUUAGCACCUCCUCUGCUCAUCCUGCUUACUUCCCUGCUUGGAGCAUCCUCUUUCUCCAGGAAACUCCUGCUGAUCAUUCAAAACCCCAGCCCAGGUGUCUGUUCCUCCUGGAAGUUACCUGGUCUCACAGGCUGAGUUUCAUGGCCUUUUCUCUGCUCUUACUGUCCCCAAGAACUAUCCAUUUGGCUCUUUGGCAUCUCCAUCAAAAGGCAACUCCAACUCCAUAAUCCAUGUGACUGCACUCCCGGCUCCCCCUAGUCCCAUGCUUCUUUAAUCUUUAAUCUCCCCCUUCUCAGUUUGUGACAACUGCAUCUUUCCAGUUGUUUGGGCCAAAAGUUUUGGAGUUAUCCUCGAGGCCUAUUUUUCUCUCACACUCAUGUAUGGUCUAUCAGCAAAUCCAAAAGUUUUACCUUUAAAAUAUGACCAGAAUGUGACCACUUCUGCUCACCUCCUCAGGUGCUACUUAGACCCAUGCCUCCACCGUCUCUCACCUAGACUGGGGUGCCAGCCUCUUCAACGAUAGAGGUCCCAGCCUCCACUGCUUCUAGUUCUCCUCUACUAUCCUCCACCCACACCCACCAUCUCCAAAAACUGUGCCAUGCUGUGCAUGAUAUAAAGGAGAAACAACACCAAACAACUUAAGUAAAAUGACAGGCACUUUGAUAAGCAAAUGCCAAGAGUGGCUCCACCGCCGACACCGUGAGCCGGACGACACCAGGAGGUCAGGGGCUGGG
rnacentral:lncRNA from 1 species